AGCAUUAGGGGAGCCCACGGCUACAAAAACAAGUGAGUGAGAAGAGGUGGGAGGAAGAGAAACUACGCCACCUCCCCUGCAGCCGAGUGCACGCAGCAGCCUGGCGUGACAAGUGGGCGACGCCGGGGGGCAGGGAGCCGGGGUCCUUGGCCCUGGCCGGGGACCCCACCGCCCACCGCGCGGAGGACAACUUUUAGCCGGCAGCCCAGACCAGCGCGGCACCUGUCUCCGGAGUCUCCACCGCUCCUCCCGAUUCAUCCCAGGGAAAUUCUCAAGAAUACGCUCUACAAAUCUACGUGCGCAUCAUUUUCACCUCGCGUCGCGCCCGGGAGGAAGGAACGAGGCAAGGAGCUAAAGCAGCGUGCGUUCAGCCCUGGGGCAUUUUAUUAAUGCUUUUACGAGUUAGAAGAGUUGGGAUAAUUUGCCAUCUGGAGUUUCUCUGCCUUGCUGAUCUGAGCUCAGACCUGCCAAUUUACCAGAGAUAAUUGAUAACACCCUGUAACAGCUGAGAGGAAAAUGGAAGAAACGGAGAUACUUUUAGUGAAGCAGAAUAAACCACUGAACAGGAAAAAUGAGGAAGCUGUGAGUACCAGUGGAAGGAACGAGCCAGGAAGAGGGACUGGAACCAUCUCAGAAGCCAUGCCCCUCAGGCUGGAACUUGCCCUGUCUCCUCGCAGAUGAGGUGCAGGUCUUCUGAACAAAUGCCUCCUGAGGAUUUCUGUGCCUGGAAAAUAUCUGUUAACAGACUGCUUUUACACCUACCUACCAUACUGGGAACUGCCCAAUGGAGAGGCCCACAUUCCACAAGGAACUGAUGUCUUCAGCCAAUACCUCGCCAGGACCUGAGGCCUGCUGAGAGUCACGAGUGGCCUUCGUGGGUCCUCUCUCAACGAGCUUGCAGGUGACCACUGCGCCAGCCAAAACCUUGAUGGCAGCCUAUGAGUGAGUGACCCUGAGCCAGAAGACCCAGUUAAGCCAUGCCCA
rnacentral:lncRNA from 10 species